AGAAGGAGAAGAAACUAAUGGCGACACCAGUUGAUCCUCCUAAUGGUGUUAGGAACCAAGGGAAGCAUUACUUCACCAUGUGGCAAAACCUGUUCGAGAUCGACACUAAGUACAUGCCAAUCAAACCCAUUGGCCGUGGUGCAUACGGUGUAGUCUGCUCUUCUGUUAACACUGACAACAACGAGAAAGUCGCUAUCAAGAAGAUUCACAAUGUCUAUGAGAACAGGAUUGAUGCUUUGAGGACCCUUCGCGAGCUCAAGCUUCUACGCCAUCUUAGACAUGAGAAUGUCAUUGCUUUGAAAGAUGUCAUGAUGCCAAUUCAUAAGAGGAGCUUCAAGGAUGUGUAUCUUGUUUAUGAGCUCAUGGAUACUGAUCUCCACCAAAUUAUCAAGUCUUCUCAAGUGCUUAGUAAUGAUCACUGCCAAUACUUCUUGUUCCAGGUACGUGAUUGGUUUGUAUCCUAUCAAUUACCGGAUGGAUCCUAUCUCUAGAACCGAAAAAUAAAAACCUAGGAAUACCCAAAUUUCUAUAAUAUAGUUUAUAUACUUAUAAAUAUUAACUAUAUUUAAUUUUAAAAUAAUCAAAUAAUAAAAAAAUAUUAUUUAUAAACCGAAAUACAUUAAAAAAACUACCAUAAUACGUUAUCCGAAAUAUUUAAAAUUAUCCAAACUGUCUAAAUUUAUAUCCAGAAAACCUAAUUUUCUGACUUCUUAGCCCAAAUCAACCAAAAAAUUGAAACUAAUUUGGAACCGAAUGGAUCCGAAACUAUUUGGAUAUUAGUUGGUUCUCAACUUUAUUACCCAAGCCGAACAAAAAAAACUGAAACAAACAAACCAAAGUCAAACCAAAAUUUUUAAAUAUCUGGACGGAUCCUAAACCUAUAGAACCAAACCAAGAAGGCUAGGUUCUAGCUUUGUGCAUGUCUUGCUUUCUGCUUAAGUUUUGCUUUGUUCUUUUGUGUAGUUGCUUCGAGGGCUCAAGUAUAUACACUCAGCCAACAUCCUCCACCGAGAUUUGAAACCAGGUAACCUCCUUAUCAACGCAAACUGCGAUUUGAAGAUAUGUGACUUCGGCCUUGCGAGAACGAGCAACACCAAGGGACAGUUCAUGACCGAAUAUGUAGUGACUCGUUGGUACAGAGCACCUGAGCUUCUCCUCUGCUGUGACAACUACGGAACAUCCAUCGAUGUUUGGUCCGUUGGUUGCAUUUUCGCCGAGCUUCUCGGUAGAAAACCGAUUUUCCAAGGAACUGAAUGCUUAAACCAGCUUAAACUCAUUGUCAACAUUCUUGGUAGCCAAAGAGACGAAGAUCUUGAGUUCAUAGAUAACCCCAAACGUGAAUCUUUUUGUUAACUGGUUUGGGCUUUAAUUUAAGCCCAUAUAAUAAGACAAGAUCAUGUAGGCAUCACCCACUUUCCUCCAAAAGAUAACGUACGAACAAGCAAGUAGAGAGUCAACUGUCCGAACGUUGACCAAAUCUCUCACUUCCUUCCACGGUUCCAUCUUCUCUCCCAGGCCAAUCCUAAGAUCUCACCCUCAUCGGUGAUCGUCGGCGUACACCAACUGUUUCUACCUCAUCCCUACUUUCUCCGGUAAACAUUUUUCACAUUCUGAUCUCACAAGUUCCUUUAAAAAUUCGACUAAGAUUGUCAAGCUUAAUAUUUGAUCUUUUCAUUUUCACUUUUGAUAGACAAUCUUUUUGCGCAAGAAAUUCACUGAAAUACAGCUUAAAUUCUAAAGUUUGUGCUAUUACAAGUAAAUCAAUUCUUUAGUUUUUUUUAAAAAAUCUAUAAUUUUGUGUUCUUGAGGUGUUAGUUGAUGUUCGUGUGAUCAAAGUGUUAUGAAAAAAAUUAUAUAUUUUUUGGAUGAACACGUAUGAAAAAAUUAUGAGUUUUUGGAUGAAUAGUUAUGAAAAAAUUAUAUUUUUUUUCUGUGUAUCAAUUUAAUUUCUUGAUUGGUGAAUUGUGAUGAAGAAGGAGAAGAAACUAAUGGCGACACCAGUUGAUCCUCCUAAUGGUGUUAGGAACCAAGGGAAGCAUUACUUCACCAUGUGGCAAAACCUGUUCGAGAUCGACACUAAGUACAUGCCAAUCAAACCCAUUGGCCGUGGUGCAUACGGUGUAGUCUGCUCUUCUGUUAACACUGACAACAACGAGAAAGUCGCUAUCAAGAAGAUUCACAA
rnacentral:lncRNA from 1 species